GAUGAACGCUGGCGGCGUGCCUAAUACAUGCAAGUCGAGCGAACAGACGAGGAGCUUGCUCCUCUGACGUUAGCGGCGGACGGGUGAGUAACACGUGGAUAACCUACCUAUAAGACUGGGAUAACUUCGGGAAACCGGAGCUAAUACCGGAUAAUAUGUUGAACCGCAUGGUUCAACAGUGAAGGACGGUCUUGCUGUCACUUAUAGAUGGAUCCGCGCCGCAUUAGCUAGUUGGUAAGGUAACGGCUUACCAAGGCAACGAUGCGUAGCCGACCUGAGAGGGUGAUCGGCCACACUGGAACUGAGACACGGUCCAGACUCCUACGGGAGGCAGCAGUAGGGAAUCUUCCGCAAUGGGCGAAAUCCUGACGGAGCAACGCCGCGUGAGUGAAGAAGGUCUUCGGAUCGUAAAACUCUGUUAUUAGGGAAGAACAAAUGUGUAAGUAACUAUGCACGUCUUGACGGUACCUAAUCAGAAAGCCACGGCUAACUACGUG
rnacentral:rRNA from 1 species